AGUCGAACGCCCUCUUCGGAGGGAGUGGCGCACGGGUGCGUAACGCGUGGGAACCUGCCUUUAGGUUCGGAAUAACUCAGAGAAAUUUGAGCUAAUACCGGAUAAUGUCUUCGGACCAAAGAUUUAUCGCCUUUAGAUGGGCCCGCGUUGGAUUAGCUAGUUGGUGGGGUAAAGGCCUACCAAGGCGACGAUCCAUAGCUGGUCUGAGAGGAUGAUCAGCCACACUGGGACUGAGACACGGCCCAGACUCCUACGGGAGGCAGCAGUGGGGAAUAUUGGACAAUGGGCGAAAGCCUGAUCCAGCAAUGCCGCGUGAGUGAUGAAGGCCUUAGGGUUGUAAAGCUCUUUUACCAGGGAUGAUAAUGACAGUACCUGGAGAAUAAGCUCCGGCUAACUCCGUGCCAGCAGCCGCGGUAAUACGGAGGGAGCUAGCGUUGUUCGGAAUUACUGGGCGUAAAGCGCGCGUAGGCGGCUUAUCAAGUCAGGGGUGAAAUCCCGGGGCUCAACCCCGGAACUGCCCUUGAAACUGGUUGGCUAGAAUCCUGGAGAGGCGAGUGGAAUUCCGAGUGUAGAGGUGAAAUUCGUAGAUAUUCGGAAGAACACCAGUGGCGAA
rnacentral:rRNA from 1 species